UGACCAAAUAUUUCUUUAGCACUCUGUUUUUCAACCAAAGAAAAGGAGGAAAAAAGUAGUUAUGAGAGGCAAAAGUGACAUAGACAACCAAAUCUUGUACAUUCAAAGCACUCAGUUUUUCAAACCCAAAAGAGGAAGUGUGAGCUUUUGUUCAACCAAUCAAAGGGGCUUUAUAUUGGUCAAGACUGGCAAUACGCAUUGAGACAAUUCCAUUUAAAAUAUUGAACAUGAAAGAAAAUAGGAUUUGAAGGAGAGGUGCUUUGGUAGAGAGAGAAACUCAAGCCUGAAGGAUCUAUCCUCUUGAAACUCAACUUUAGCUCUACUAGAAUAGCUUCAAAUCAUCUAAGAAAAUUUCAAAAAUGGGUAAAUUAUAUAGACAUAGACAGUUACUCAUCUUAAAGGUAAGAUACUUAAAUUUUAAUAUGCAAUAUAAAACCUUAUGAUCAUUAAUUUAUGUUACAUAA
rnacentral:misc_RNA from 1 species